rnacentral:rRNA from 1 species
AGCGUGAACGCUGGCGGCAUGGUUAAAACAUGCAAGUCGAACGCGAAAGGGACUUCGGUCCCCGGUAGAGUGGCGAACGGGCGAGUAAUGGAUUUCUAACGUGCCCCGAGGUCAGGGAUAGCUCACCGAAAGGUGUGGUAAUACCUGAUGACAUCUUUCCGCCGCAUGGCGGGUUGAUCAAAGGCUUGCUGCCUCGGGAUCGGGAAAUCUCCUAUCAGGUAGUUGGUGAGGUAACGGCUCACCAAGUCAAAGACGGGUAGCGGGCGUGAGAGCGUGGCCCGCCGCAUCGGAACUGAGACACUGUCCGGACUCCUACGGGAGGCUGCAGUAACGAAUCUUCCGCAAGUGGGCGAAAGCCUAGACGGAGCAAUGCCGCGUGCGGGAUGAAGCCCGUUCGGGGGUGUAAACCGCUGGUCAGGGUUUAGAACACAAUGAACCAAACCCGAGAAGGAAGGGCCGGACUAACGUCU